rnacentral:rRNA from 1 species
GUGGGGAAUUUUGGACAAUGGGCGAAAGCCUGAUCCAGCCAUGCCGCGUGCAGGAUGAAGGCCUUCGGGUUGUAAACUGCUUUUGUACGGAACGAAAAGACUCCUUCUAAUAAAGGGGGUCCAUGACGGUACCGUAAGAAUAAGCACCGGCUAACUACGUGCCAGCAGCCGCGGUAAUACGUAGGGUGCAAGCGUUAAUCGGAAUUACUGGGCGUAAAGCGUGCGCAGGCGGUUAUAUAAGACAGAUGUGAAAUCCCCGGGCUGAACCUGGGAACUGCAUUUGUGACUGUAUAGCUAGAGUACGGUAGAGGGGGAUGGAAUUCCGCGUGUAGCAGUGAAAUGCGUAGAUAUGCGGAGGAACACCGAUGGCGAAGGCAAUCCCCUGGACCUGUACUGACGCUCAUGCACGAAAGCGUGGGGAGCAAACAGGAUUAGAAACCCCAGUAGUCC